CACACACACACACACACACACACACACACACACCUUGAUGGAGGUGCUGCUGUCGAAGCGAAAAGACUUAGUCUGCCCGUUCUCCAGGUAGACCUUCAGGACAUUUGGCAUGAACAGAAGAGCGUUGUCCUUCACCGGGUUCUGCAAAGGAGGAAUAUGAUCAGUCUUUUCAACAGGAGCCGAGCUGACCGGCUCGUCGUUGAUCAGGAUGAUCUCAUCGCCUGGCAACAGCUUCCCCUCCGAUGGACCACCUACGGCGCACAUAGAGGGGUUUCAGUACGUCACCCAAAAGAUUGAAACAGUGGAAGAACAGCUGAAUGGACACUGUGUGCAUAUAAACGUGUCAGUUUACAGCCAGUGGAGCUGACGGCCGAUAGGAGUCUGGAAGCAGUGAUUUGGCAGCAAUUUGGCGAUCGACCAAUUCAAAAUAAACAAUACUUCCACUGAAAAAA